UACGAAGGGGGCUAGCGUUGUUCGGAAUUACUGGGCGUAAAGGGCGCGUAGGCGGCGUGUCAAGUCAGGCGUGAAAGCCCCGGGCUCAACCUGGGAACCGCGCUUGAGACUGGCAUGCUCGAGUUCGGGAGAGGAUGGUGGAAUUCCCAGUGUAGAGGUGAAAUUCGUAGAUAUCUGGAGGAACACCGGUGGCGAAGGCGGCAUCCUGGACCGAGAUUGACGCUGAGGCGCGAAAGGCUAGGGGAGCAAACGGG
rnacentral:rRNA from 1 species